GAUGAACGCUAGCGGCAGGCUUAACACAUGCAAGUCGAGGGGCAGCAGGGGUAGCAAUACUCGCUGGCGACCGGCAAACGGGUGCGGAACACGUACAGAAUCUACCUUUAUCUGGGGAAUAGCCCGAAGAAAUUCGGAUUAAUACCCCAUAACAUAUUAGAGUGGCAUCACUCAGAUAUUAAAACUCCGGUGGAUAGAGAUGACUGUGCGUCCCAUUAGCUAGUUGGUAGGGUAACGGCCUACCAAGGCGACGAUGGGUAGCUGGUGUGAGAGCACGACCAGCCACACGGGCACUGAGACACGGGCCCGACUCCUACGGGAGGCAGCAGUGAGGAAUAUUGGGCAAUGGACGCAAGUCUGACCCAGCCAUGCCGCGUGAAGGAUGAAGGCGUUCUGCGUUGUAAACUUCUUUUAUUGGGGAAGAAACCUCCGUUUUNUAAUGGAGCCGACGGUACCCAACGAAUAAGCACCGGCUAACUCCGUGCCAG
rnacentral:rRNA from 1 species